rnacentral:rRNA from 1 species
AGUGAACGUUGGCGGCGUGGAUUAGGCAUGCAAGUCGAGCGAGUGGAGUUCUUCGGAACAAGGCUAGCGGCGGACGGGUGAGUAACACGUGGGCAACCUGCCUCAUAGAGGGGAAUAGCCUCCUGAAAGGGAGAUUAAUACCGCAUAAGAUUGUAGCUUCGCAUGAAGUAGCAAUUAAAGGAGCAAUCCGCUAUGAGAUGGGCCCGCGGCGCAUUAGCUAGUUGGUGAGGUAACGGCUCACCAAGGCGACGAUGCGUAGCCGACCUGAGAGGGUGAUCGGCCACAUUGGGACUGAGACACGGCCCAGACUCCUACGGGAGGCAGCAGUGGGGAAUAUUGCACAAUGGGGGAAACCCUGGUGCAGCAACGCCGCGUGAGUGAUGACGGCCUUCGGGUUGUAAAGCUCUGUCUUCAGGGACGAUAAUGACGGUACCUGAGGAGGAAGCCACGGCUAACUACGUGCCAGCCGCCGCCGUAA